AUGAGCAGGCUUGAAAGCUCAAAAACAGCAGAAUAUCUCCACCAAGAUACGUCUUUAGAUCCUGCUCUCAACCCGUCCUUGGACUCCGAUCACGGUCUCAUUACCCUGGCUUUCCCCUCCACUACUUGGUCUUCCUGCCCAAGUCCACAGAGGACCACUCCCCGCUCAGGGUCAGGACCAAAGCUGACCCCUUCUGCAUCAGUGACUCAGCUGGAAUCCCAUCGCUGGUCUGUCCUGCCUCCUAUCUCCCCUGUCAGAGGACGCUGUGGCACAGCAGCAUCACGCUACUCGGAGCUCAGCUGCAGUCAGUCUCAUGUGUUUGAUGAACUGGAGGCCAUUGCCCCUCGGUCAGCUUCCUGUCCGUCUCUGGACCAGACAUCAGACUCAUCAGGUUCUCCUUCCCCUGAUACAGAGCUGUCUCCUGGCCUGGCAGCGCUAACUGUGGGCUGUGACUCAGGGAAUCUGGGCUCCUUGUCCCGGGUCCAGCUGCUCCUACUGGACCGACUGGAGCCUGAGGCGCCACCGAGUCCCUUCGGUCAGGAAGAAGAGCUGUCGCUGAUGCAGGACUGGUCAGAUCUGAGGAUGCAGUAUGAUCCAGGUGUUUUGAGGCCCCUCACAGCUGGCAGCAUCUCUGAAAGGUGUGACUCUCCGGGGAAAGUCCAUGAAAACAAAUCGGCUCCAGCACAGAUGAAAGGGGCCCCACCGAGGAGGAGUCCAAUUAUCCAGGAUGGAGGGACCGAGUGGAGUCCUCGGCUGGAGGAAGGAGGCCUGAGAGUGUUGACCACAGCACUGAAGAGAAGGAGAGAAGGAUGGAGGAGAGGAAAACAAAGGUGCUGCACAUACUUACCAAACUGCAGGACACGCCUCGUCAGCCAAAUGGCAACAAAGGUCGCUCCAACUUUGAGGACUUCGACUUUUUGGCAAAGUAUUGCAUUUUCAGUCAGGAGAAGCUGGCUGAGUACAAAAGAGCUUUUGAAGCAGAGGACAGUGAUGGUGACGGCUACAUCUCCUGCCUUCAGGUUCUACUCGCUCUUAAAAACAUCAUCCCCCCCGAGCUGCUGUCUGAUGAAGAGGAGAUCUACGUCUACAGGAUCCUGGAGAUGGUGGACUUCAGAGUGA
rnacentral:lncRNA from 1 species